AACGAACGCUGGCGGCAGGCCUAACACAUGCAAGUCGAGCGAGGACUUCGGUCCUAGCGGCGGACGGGUGAGUAGCGCGUGGGAACGUGCCCCUUGGUACGGAAUAGCCCCGGGAAACUGGGAGUAAUACCGUAUGAGCUCUACGGAGGAAAGAUUUAUCGCCAAGGGAUCGGCCCGCGUUGGAUUAGGUAGUUGGUGGGGUAAUGGCCUACCAAGCCGACGAUCCAUAGCUGGUUUGAGAGGAUGAUCAGCCACACUGGGACUGAGACACGGCCCAGACUCCUACGGGAGGCAGCAGUGGGGAAUCUUAGACAAUGGGCGCAAGCCUGAUCUAGCCAUGCCGCGUGAGCGAUGAAGGCCUUAGGGUUGUAAAGCUCUUUCAGCUGGGAAGAUACUGACUGUACCAGCAGAAGAAGCCCCGGCUAACUCCGUGCCAGCCGCCGCAGUAA
rnacentral:rRNA from 1 species